AUAGUGCAUUAAGCUACAUGAUUAACUCCUGUCACAUGUGGCUUGUUCUCUCUGAUCCUCUCCGCAGGGGGAGGAUCCAGGCCUUCGCAAGGGAAAAGGAAACAUACAUUCGCUUUAAAAGUAGUGUGUAAAUGAAUAAAAAAGGACUGGAGCCAGAUUUUUGUUGGUUGGUUGACCGGCUUUCUUCAGCUUUUUAUUUCAUGUGAGGAGGAGAUGAGGAAUCCUCAUAAAAGAUAUUUGUAUCAUAUUGGAAGCUCAUGUCGUUUUACCCCAUGAAAUUCUCUGGGGAGCUAGUAAGCCAUCUCAGGAGAACUACUGAAAUAUUUCACCAUAAGCAACUGGAAGUGCAAGCAGAAUAUGACCUGGAAGAGAUUAAUGGAAAACAAAAUAAACAAUGGAAGGUGGAUGAGAAGCUGCUUCUUUCACAAAGGUGCAAAUAGCAUUCUCAAUAAGCCGGUCUGUUUGUUCUUAAUUUCACAUGGAAUUAAGUAAAAAUAUGCAAGAUGUCAGUUGUGAAGAAGAUGUUGUCGACUCAUUGUGAUUCCUUCGUGCUGAAUACUGGUUGUUGGCCAUCUGCAACUGACCUCAAGUGACCUGACAGGUUUGCUCAAAACCAUUUUAGGAGGAAACUCAAAUCCAGAAAAACCCCAGUACCAGCAACAGUCUGCAGCAUUUUUAAAAAUAUAGUAAGAGGAAAAAGGGGUUUUUGGCAUGUUUAGAAAAUGACUUUUAAAAAAAUAUUUACAACUCUCGAUCUUUGCAGAAAGGUCUUUGAUUAAUCCUUUCUUGUCAGCAAAAUACAAAGUUGC